CUCUUUCUCCUGCUCUGCCUUGUGAAGAAGGUACUUGCUUCCCUUUCACCCUUCUGCCAUGAUUGUAAGUUUCCUGAAGCCUCCACAACCAUGCUUCCUAUACAACCUACAGAAAUGAUCUUACUGUUACCCAGGAUGAAGUACUGUGGCAUGAUCACAGCUCCCUGAAGCCUCAACCUCUCCAAGCUCAGGUGAUUUCUUCCACCUCAGCCUCCAAAGUAGCUGGGACUACAGGCAUGCGCCACUACACCCAGCUAAUUUUUUUGUGUGUUUUGGAGAGAUAGGGUUUCAUCAUGUUGCCCAGGCUGGUCUGAAACUCCUGGACUCAAGCAAUCUACCCACCUGGGCCUCCCAAAGUGCUAGGAUUACAGGCAUGAGCCACUACGCCCAGCAAGGUAUUUUCUGAAAAGGUGGAUUGCUGCUUCAAAGGACCUGGACCCAGAGGCCCUGUCCAUGAAUGUUUCUUGCUUGGUUCCGAGGCCACCAAACAUACUGGCUGAGCCUUCUGUAUUCACCCUGGCCUAUCAAUGCCAUCUAUGAGAGCAGCCACACUGAGAGAGCAGCAGCAUGGAGCCUACUCAAGGGUUUGUUUCAAAAAUAUAUGGAAAACAAGAAAAACCAAAAGAGGAAACCAUUUCUAAUGAGGAGACUAGUUCAAUUAUUCUGAAGUCAAGCCCUGCUAAUCAAGGAGUUGGACCGACUGUGACAUUUGGGGAAGCCCCACAGAACAGGAUGGGAUCUUUUAUGAAGAAAUGGAUUGGGAAGAAAAACAUAAGAUAAGGUUGGAACCUCUUCUGGUGCAAGAAGGUCCUAAAUAUUACUGAGGAUCUCUCAUCUUCUAGGUGAAGCUCACAAAAUUGCCCUGGAGGUUGCUGCCUUCCUGGAAGCCAGAGUGAAAAAAAAAAAGAGGACAUGCAGUUGCACAUGGGAGGAUUUUGUGGGCCAUGGUUAUCAGGGCACAAUCCCUUAGCUCACCUUUCUCUGGUGAGAAAACACUUCCAGUGCCACACCUCAGUCUCCUCCCUCUGGUGAAAAAAACACUUCCAGUGCCACACCUCAGCCUCCUUCCUCUGGUGAAAAAACAGUUCCAGUGCCAUACCUCAGCCUUUCCUCUGGUAAAAAACACUUCCAGUGCCACACCUCAGCCUCCCUCCUCUGGUGAAAAAACACUUCCAGUGCUACACCUCAGCCUCCUUCCUCUGGUGAAAAAAUACUUCCAGAGCCACACCUUACCCUCCUUCCUCUGGUGAGAAACUACUUCCAGUGCCACACCUCAGCCUCCUUCCUCUGGUGACAAAACACUUCCAGUGCCACAACUCAGCCUCCUUCGACUGAGAGGGUACAGAAGCUGAUUUUGUGAUUGAUUGGAAUGGGACAGCAGUGAGGAGCCACCAUUUUGCUCACAGAUGAAAGAUCACCCAUUGUAAGAGGCUGCCUGAAGAGAAAACAAGCAAGAAAGACUGGCCAAAUUUGCAGUGCGGAGGUCCAGGAAAGAGCCUGGAUAGUGAGCAGGUUGUUUGCUGCCGACCCUAAAGAUGCAGGAAUCCAGCCAUGACCAUGCAGUUUUGGCCACACAAAUACCUUUGUUCAGAGAGGUUUUCAGCUGAGGUGACAUUUCUGCAAACAAAGUAGACUUGGCUUCCCUGGAAAGUGAUGGAACCAUUGAAAAGCCAGAAAAAUAAAGAGUUUUAAUGGAGUAAAAAUUACAAAUGCCACAUGGCAUAUGGGAUACAUUGUGAAGAAGUAAUCAUGAGACUAGAAGCCAUAGAUUUAAUAAGACUCGAUUCUCACCACAUGUACAAACAGAAUUAGGAAUAAAUCGCAUACAAUGAUCCCGGUAGAAGACACAAAACUUCCACGUCAGAGACAAAGGAUUUCAUUACUCAUGGCAAAAGCAGGAAUCAGAGCUUCACAUUUGCUGGUGUCAAUUUCUCAUACCCUCAAAUCCCAGAAGCAUGACACAAAAGAGUCCAUGAUGGAUGUCUGAAUACACAGUGGGCUGUGUUAGAAGAGAGUAACACUGAGCUCAGGUGAUCUCUGCUUCUGUAGUAAGCUUGCACUUUGUCUCGGGGGAGACAUUCCCUCAUCACUCAAGACUGUUCCCUGCAAACACAACCUUGAAUAAUGGCCCAGAAGAGUGGUGAGAGUUCUAAAUUCCUGGCACUUCCAGCAAGUAUGCUCAGGAACACCAGGGCCCAAAGUGGAUUGCCUCUUCCUAAAAAUAUGUUUAUGACUGAAGCCCUUUCCUUUAAAAUGUUAGGUGAAUAUGGAUCUUUUAUUUGCUGUCCUAUUUCAUUUUCAAUAAUUCUGAGUAUGACUCACCAAAAUGAUUUCACAAAAUAAUCUGUAGUAACCUUCAAUUUAAACAACAAACAAAUAAAAAAAAUUGCUAUGUUAAGUAUAUAUUUGAGAGUGUAAUUGCAGAAUUACAUUCUUCCUUAACAUACAAUGUGAAUGGUUUUAUAAAGUGAUUUGUCAGUUAUUUAUCAUUUGCUUUUCACAAGCGGUGUAUGAAUAUUCCCCUUGCCAUAUGUCUCCACCACCACUUGGUUUUGUCAGACAUUUAUUGUUUGAUAAUCAAAUACUGCAUAAUUAUAUCUGAUUUGGUUGUAAUUUGCAUUUUACUUAUUAUUAAUGAGGUUUAGCAUUGCCAUAUGUGUAUAAGUCAUUUGUUUUUCAUUGUCUGUUAAAUGUCUGCAUAUGACUUUGGCCCGUUUUAAAAUUGAGAUAUUUCUUUCUUUUAGAUUGAUACAUGAAUUAUUUACAUUUGUGAGUUAUGAAUAUUGUCAAUAACGUCUCACUGUAGAUCAAUUUUUCACUGAAUUUCUGGUAUCAUUUUAUAAAUUAAAUUUAUUUUAAUGUUUCAAGUAUUCUAUUUUAAACUGAUAUUUUAUGGUAUUUGUCAUGUAUAAGAACUCAUUCUAGAUCAUUAGUCAUAAAGAUAUUCAUCUAAAUUUUCUUCAAAACUGUUAAAUGUCUUUAACAUUUAAGUCCUAAAUACAUCUGAACUGGUCCAAUAAUCCAAAUGAAUCAAAUAUCUAAGAAAAACUGUAACAAAGGAAGAGACAAAUCUAUAGAGAGUACAUUAUAAAACAUUCUUGAGGGAGAAUCAAUAUGAACCUAAAUUAAUAGAAAACUAUUUAUGGAGGGAAAGACAGUAUGUAAAGAAGCAAAUUAUCUUCAAUUCAUCUGUAAAUUUACUGCAAUCUCAAUAAAAAGUCAAGUAGAAGCUUUUUUGUUGAAAUUGAUAAGCCAAUAAUAAAUUGUAAAUAUUCAAAGAUCUAAUGAUAGCUAAUGCAAUAUUGAAGAUAAACUGAAAUUUUGGAGAAUCAAGACUUAUUUGAGGAUUGCAGUAAUGAAGACAGUGAUUAAUUGUGCAAGAAUAGACAAACCAUCCAAGAAAACAAAAUAGAGAGCUGAAAAGCAGACCCAGGCUUAUAUUGAUCAGUGAUAUAGGUGGCAUAACAGGAGGGUGACAAAAAGACAGUUAUUUCCAUAAAUUGUACUUCAUCAAUUGUAUAUCUGAGAGAGAGAGAAAGAGAGAGAAAUUGUUUUUAUUCAUAGUAUAAUAUAUAAUUGCUUCUAUUCAUAGAGAGAAAGACAGAGAGAUAACUGUUUCUAUUCAUAGUAUAAGCAUCUUAAUUUCAGGUGGUUUUUAGAUUUUUAUGUGAAAGUUAAAAAUAGUAAAUCCUAAGAGAGGAUAAUAUAGAGGACGUUUUCACCACAUGGGGUAUAUAAAGAUUAAUAAAACUGGACACAAAGUCUCUGAUUAUAAAAAAAAUUGACAAAUAUUUUGACUGUAAGAGAUUAUAUUAAUAAAUACACAAUACAAUUUUAAGAGAAAUGAAAUGAGAAAUGAAAAGAGCAGCAGUAGAGUGGGAUGUCAAAGUACAUAUGACUGACAAAAAAUUACAAAAUCAAGACUAAAAUGGCAUACCACUAGAGCAGCUAUAAAUACAAAGAGUAAAAAUGCUCUUCUGUUUGGAGGACGUGAAGCAUGUUCUUGGGCACUGAUUACGUGAGUAGGUAGCUUUUCCUGAUUAUAUCCUCUGCAGAGUUUUCAUAGUGUAUCAUGUCUAGAUCACAACUGGAAAGAUCUAUGGCAAAUUCAUCAUCUGUCAAUGAGCGCAACCAAUAUUUGUUACAAUUUUACCAUGUUUAAUUGUGAAAGAGUUCUUAGAGCAUCAAAACACAUAUCCAGAAAUACUAUCCUCAAGUACCAGGCAAUAUUUAUUUUUUUUCAGUUACUUUUCUGCCCUAUAUUUAUCACUAAGCUCAUAUGAACUUUUAAUUUUUUAAAAAAACCUUUAGGUGUCUGUUUUACUCAUUCCAGAGAGAAGGAACUUAUUGGCACAUGACUGAUUUAUUAAAUACACUCAAUAAAAGUUGGCAUUUUUACAGUCAGCAAGCUCAAUAAAGUUCACAAAUAAAUCUUCUAUAGUUCUCAUAUUUACAUAUUUCUCAUAUUACUCUUUACCUAGGUAUCUAUCAACUUUGAAAGAUCCAAAAAUAGAACAUGAGGGCCAUAAUUGUCUGGAAAUGAGGAGAGGGUAUAUUUCUUUGUGAGAAUUUUUUGUGUAAAUGAGUAAGUUAAGAUGAUAUUAUAAAACCAAUUAUUAUAAAAUUCCUGAGGAUAUCCUCUAUAGCAUGUACUUUGGCAUUGAUUAUCUAUAUGAGUAGGUAGCUUUUCCUGAUUACAUCCUUUAUAAAGUUUUCAUAGCAUAUCAUAGCUAUGAAAAUAUUUUUCAGAAAAAGAUAAACCACACAGGAAUAAAUGAUAAAGUGAAUGAUAACUUUUCAGUUAAAAAAAGAACUAAAUGUACAAUGAAAUUUGGGACUAAAUAAAUGGCACUUCUGCACAAUUCAGAUCUUUUUCCCCCUUAUGCUGAGCCUACUUUGUUGUUUUGCAUAACCUACAACAUGUAGACAUCUCAGUUAGAGACCUCUAUCCCAUACCCUUUUUCCCCAAAAGUUCUUUCCUUUCAUCAGUGAUGGCUGAGUCGAUUCUUAGACUAGUUCCAAUGUAUUCCCUUGAUGUAAUCAUCAGAUCUGUCUCCCCUCAGCACCUUGUUUGGGGAUGCUUCUCAUUCUCUAUGCCUAGGUACAAUUUCAAAUCCAGAGUUGGAGCUGUCAUCUUCAUAAAUUCUCCUUAGAUUAUAGGAGUUCACAAAAUCUUGUCAUUUCUGUGUACUCUUCUCGGUCUUAAGAAAUGUUUCUCCUGGAAUAACCUGUGGUCACCCUCUGAUAGGUAUGUUCUGUUAUUAUGUUUUUGUGUAAAUUUUGUCAAGCUAAUGUAACUGUGAUUUUAUUUCACAUGAUCUAUAGGGCCUUACACAAACCUGAACCUAAUAAAGACAUGUGGGACAUAAUCUCAAAAUGAUAUCACUGAAACUCAUUUCCAACCCAAUUAAACUGUUCUCCUAGGGUUGGUUGACAGUCCAGAAUUAUUAGGCUUCUCAGUGGAGCCAGAACAAUCUGUCCAGUGAUACUUGAUCCGAUCAAGUGUUUUCAUGGGUGGUUUGGAAACCAUGUCUUGCUUUGCAGAUGUUAUUUAUCACAAAGUUGCCCCUAGCCCUUUAAUGUUGAGGAUUUGAUAUUAGUGGAGUUGUGGAAGUGAAAUUAUUAGGGUGUCCUUAAAGUCCUUUUCCAUAAAUGAAUGAUUUAUUGGAGCAAUGAAAGAAAGGAAUAAGUUUGCCUGCUCAAUAUAGCCCGUCAUUUUUGAUGAAUGUGACUCACCUUUCUGUAAGAAGUUCAAUUUAGCACUGGUACCAAUUCUUGAAUUUUAUAGAGAAGGAAAUUGUAAAAUGUCUUAGAAAUGUGGCCACGGAGAGAACAAACUGAGGUUGAAUGAUGCAAAAUCAGAACUACACUGAAUGCAACGUAAUGCCAAUGCUGUUCAAUGCCAAGAGACUUACAGGAUAAAAUUUGGCUUUUUCCUUUUGAAAUAAUAUUAGCUUGCUAUUGAGUAAAAUCAGGUAGCAACACUUCAUAACUCCAUUACCUACCUGUUUUGUAUUCAUUAAAGUGUGGCUUUCUUGGCCUGACUGUCAGUGGUAUGCUGAGAUGGCUUGCCACAGCUCCAGAGUGCAUUGUAUAUAUUUCUUCUUGACUUCACGUUAAGUGACAUUAUGUUGGUAGCUUGGAAUUGGUCAUGAUGAAGCUAUAUAUACCAGGAAAACUGGCACAUGCUGCAAAUGAAGGCUCCUGCUCUUCCAGAGAUCUAACUGUUAAGUAUUUAUCAGCAUACUACUAACCUGUGUUCAAAGGUUGAACUGCAGAAGCCUCU
rnacentral:lncRNA from 1 species